rnacentral:rRNA from 1 species
CCUACGGGUGGCAGCAGUGGGGAAUAUUGGACAAUGGGGGGAACCCUGAUCCAGCGCCGCCGCGUGAGUGAAGAAGUAUUUCGGUAUGUAAAGCUCUAUCAGCAGGGAAGAAAGAAAUGACGGUACCUGACUAAGAAGCCCCUGCUAACUACCUGCCAGCAGCCGCGGUAAUACGUAGGGGGCAAGCGUUAGCCGGAUUUACUGGGUGUAAAGGGAGCGUAUACGGCGAUGCAAGUCUGAAGUGAAAGGCGGGGGCUCAACCCCUGGACUGCUUUGGAAACUGUAUGGCUGGAGUGCAGGAGAGGUAAGUGGAAUUCCGAGUGUAGCGGUGAAAUGCGUAGAUAUUAGGAGGAACACCAGUGGCGAAGGCGGCUUACUGGACUGUAACUGACGUUGAGGCUCGAAAGCGUGGGGAGCAAACAGGAUUAGAUACCCCGGUAGUC